GUGAUCUUGUUUCAACGAGCCGCGGGUUUCCUAUCCGUACAAAGGAAGCGUAUUCACUUGUUCUUUAAAUAAGUGAGUAGUAUGAAUGGCAUCACGAAGGUUAUACUGUCUCCUUUUUGAAAUCAGAGAAACUAAACUCUCCCGUGGAGUAAGGGGGAUUACUAAUAAGACGAGAAGACCCUAUGGACCUUUGGACCUAAUAACGCGGGCUAAAAUACCUUAUCCUGAUUUUUGAUUUAUAUAGCACUAUGAUUAAAAGUAUUAGGUUGGGGUGGCCGCGGAGUAAAAAUUAACCUCCACAUUGAAAGGAUUCAUAAGCAGAAAGCAACAUCUUUAAGCAUCAACAAAUUGACACUUAUUGACCGAUGGUUUGAUCAAAGAGCCAAUUACCCUACGGAUACCAGCGCAAUCCGCUAUGAGAGAAAUAUCGACGAGUGGGCUUACGACCUCGAUGUUGGAUCAGGG
rnacentral:rRNA from 1 species